rnacentral:tRNA from 1 species
GGGCGUGUGGCGUAGUUGGUAGCGCGUUCGCCUUGCAACCGAAAGGUCAUCGGUUCGACUCCGGUCUCGUCCA